rnacentral:rRNA from 1 species
UCCGGUGGCCAUGGCGGAGGUGACCCACCCGUUCCCAUUCCGAACACGGCCGUGAAACCCUCCAGCGCCCAGGGUACUUGGCGGUCCGCCGCCCGGGAGAGCAGGUCGCCGCCGGAG